rnacentral:rRNA from 6 species
CCUUCCGUAGGUGAACCUGCGGAAGG